rnacentral:tRNA from 1 species
GCCCGGUUUGUAUAGUGGAUAGUAUUGGGGACUGUGAAUCCCUAGAGACGGGUUCGAUUCCCGUACCGGGCCCCA